GGAUUCGCUAGUAAUCGCGCAUCAGCCAUGGCGCGGUGAAUACGUUCCCGGGCCUUGUACACACCGCCCGUCAAGCCAUGGGAGCCGGGGGCGCCUGAAGUCCGGGACCGCGAGGACCGGCCUAGGGCGAAACUGGUAACUGGGGCUAAGUCGUAACAAGGUACC
rnacentral:rRNA from 1 species